rnacentral:lncRNA from 1 species
AAGAAGGCAUUCAGAAGGUCUGCCUUUUCCUUAUCCUCAGUGGUCACGUUCCCAGCCUCAUCCAGUAGAGAAUGGAGAUUCUCCCUGGUCCUCCUCUUACUGUUGAUAUACUUGUAAAAGAGUUUCUUGUUCCCUUUCACCCCAGCAGCCAGGUUGAGUUCAAUGGUUGAGAUGGGCACCAGGGAAAAGGAGGAUGAGAUAGGUAUGUGAACUGGGGUUUCCAGUGGAGAGGAACAAGAUGAGCUGAAGAGGUGAUUCAAGAUAGCUGGCGUGGCUUUGUUAAGGGCAGAU